CUGGUAGUCCACGCUGUAAACGAUGUCGACUUGGAGGUUGUGCCCUUGAGGCGUGGCUUCCGGAGCUAACGCGUUAAGUCGACCGCCUGGGGAGUACGGCCGCAAGGUUAAAACUCAAAUGAAUUGACGGGGGCCCGCACAAGCGAUGGAGCAUGUGGUUUAAUUCGAUGCAACGCGAAGAACCUUACCUGGCCUUGACAUCCACGGGAUUUGGCAGAGAUGCCGGAGUGCCUUCGGGAACCGUGAGACAGGUGCUGCAUGGCUGUCGUCAGCUCGUGUUGUGAAAUGUUGGGUUAAGUCCCGCAACGAGCGCAACCCUUAUCCUUUGUUGCCAUCGGGUGAAGCCGGGAACUCAAAGGAGACUGCCGGUGACAAACCGGAGGAAGGUGGGGAUGACGUCAAGUCAUCAUGGCCCUUACGGCCAGGGCUACACACGUGCUACAAUGGCGCAUGCAAAGAGAAGCGACCUCGAGAGAGCAAGCGGACCUCAUAAAGUGCGUCGUAGUCCGGAUCGGAGUCUGCAACCCGACUCCGUGAAGUCGGAAUCGCUAGUAAUCGUGGAUCAGAAUGCCACGGUGAAUACGUUCCCGGGCCUUGUACACACCGCCCGUCACAUCCAUGGGAGUGGGUUGCAAAAGAAGUAGGGUAGCUUAACCUUCGGGAGGGCGCUUACCAGCUUUGUGAUUCA
rnacentral:rRNA from 1 species